UCAAUAAGCGGAGGAAAAGGAACUAACAAGGAUUCCCCUAGUAACUGCGAGUGAAGCGGGAAGAGCUCAAAUUUAAAAUCUGGCGUGCCUCUGGUCGUCCGAGUUGUAGUCUGGAGAAGCGUUUUCCGUGUUGGACCGUGUAUAAGUCUCUUGGAACAGGGCGUCAUAGAGGGUGAGAAUCCCGUCUUUGACACGGACUACCAAUGCUUUGUGAUGCGCUCUCAAAGAGUCGAGUUGUUUGGGAAUGCAGCUCAAAAUGGGUGGUAAAUUCCAUCUAAAGCUAAAUAUAGGCGAGAGACCGAUAGCGAACAAGUACCGUGAGGGAAAGAUGAAAAGCACUUUGGAAAGAGAGUUAAACAGUACGUGAAAUUGCUGAAAGGGAAACGCUUGAAGUCAGUCAUGUCUGCCAGGACUCAGCCUUGCUUCUGCUUGGUGUACUUUCUGGUUUGAUGGGCCAACAUCGAUUUUGACCGUCGGAAGAAGGCUUUGGGAACGUGGCACCUUAGGGUGUGUUAUAGCCCUUUGUUGUAUACGACGGUUGGGAUCGAGGACCGCAGCACGCCUUUAUGGCCGGGGUUCGCCCACGUACGUGCUUAGGAUGUUGGCAUAAUGGCUUUAAGCGACCCUCUUGAAACACGGACCA
rnacentral:rRNA from 1 species